AAAAGAGGACUAAUUUGACUGAUUGCAACCUCAUCAAAAAUGCUAAAG
rnacentral:ncRNA from 1 species